rnacentral:SRP_RNA from 1 species
CUCCGGCCUCCGUGCAAUCCCGAACACAUGAACCCCGCCAGGACCGGAAGGUAGCAACGGUAGUGUUGUUCGGAUGUGCUGCGGUAGUAACCGGAGCCU